rnacentral:rRNA from 1 species
UGGGGAAUAUUGGGCAAUGGGCGCAAGCCUGACCCAGCGACGCCGCGUGAGGGAAGAAGGCCCUCGGGUCGUAAACCUCUGUCAGGAGGGAAGAAGUGGGUUCUGGUUAACAGCCGGGGCCUUUGACGGUACCUCCAAAGGAAGCACCGGCCAACUCCGUGCCAGCAGCCGCGGUAAUACGGAGGGUGCAAGCGUUAUUCGGAAUCACUGGGCGUAAGGCGCGCGUAGGCGGCUUCGUAAGUCAGAUGUGAAAGCCCUCGGCUCAACCGAGGAAUAGCAUUUGAAACUGCGGAGCUAGAGUUCGGGAGAGGGUGGCGGAAUUCCAGGUGUAGGAGUGAAAUCCGUAGAUAUCUGGAGGAACACCAGAGGCGAAGGCGGCCACCUGGACCGAAACUGACGCUGAGGUGCGAAAGCGUGGGUAGCAAACAGGAUUAGAUACCCUGGUAGUCCACGCCGUAAACGAUGGAUGCUAGAUGCUGGGUGCUUAUGGCAUUCGGUGUCGGAGCUAACGCGUUAAGCAUCCCGCCUGGGGAGUACGGUCGCAAGGCUG